AAGGCGGUAGUCUAAUGAAGAUAGCUGAUUUCGACUCAGCAGAUUAUGAAUCAUCUCAUACCUCCUUU
rnacentral:tRNA from 1 species